UGUCCAGCCUACGUCUACCAUGCAGUCGAGCGGAUGACGGGAGCUUGCUCCUUGAUUCAGCGGCGGACGGGUGAGUAAUGCCUAGGAAUCUGCCUGGUAGUGGGGGACAACGUUUCGAAAGGAACGCUAAUACCGCAUACGUCCUACGGGAGAAAGCAGGGGACCUUCGGGCCUUGCGCUAUCAGAUGAGCCUAGGUCGGAUUAGCUAGUUGGUGGGGUAAUGGCUCACCAAGGCGACGAUCCGUAACUGGUCUGAGAGGAUGAUCAGUCACACUGGAACUGAGACACGGUCCAGACUCCUACGGGAGGCAGCAGUGGGGAAUAUUGGACAAUGGGCGAAAGCCUGAUCCAGCCAUGCCGCGUGUGUGAAGAAGGUCUUCGGAUUGUAAAGCACUUUAAGUUGGGAGGAAGGGCAGUAAGUUAAUACCUUGCUGUUUUGACGUUACCGACAGAAUAAGCACCGGCUAACUCUGUGCCAGCAGCCGCGGUAAUACAGAGGGUGCAAGCGUUAAUCGGAAUUACUGGGCGUAAAGCGCGCGUAGGUGGUUUGUUAAGUUGGAUGUGAAAGCCCCGGGCUCAACCUGGGAACUGCAUCCAAAACUGGCAAGCUAGAGUACGGUAGAGGGUGGUGGAAUUUCCUGUGUAGCGGUGAAAUGCGUAGAUAUAGGAAGGAACACCAGUGGCGAAGGCGACCACCUGGGACUGAUACUGACACUGAGGUGCGAAAGCGUGGGGAGCAAACAGGAUUAGAUACCCUGGUAGUCCACGCCGUAAACGAUGUCAACUAGCCGUUGGAAUCCUUGAGAUUUUAGUGGUCGCAGCUAACGCAUUAAGUUGACCGCCUGGGGAGUACGGCCGCAAGGUUAAACUCAAAUGAAUUGACGGGGGCCCGCACAAGCGGUGGAGCAUGGUGGCUUAAUUCGAAGCAACGCGAAGAAUCCUUACCAG
rnacentral:rRNA from 1 species